CCAGGGGCAGCACUAGUCAUUCAAUGUUUUGGUUUACAAACAGAACAACAGAAAGAGGUUAGGUGAAGUGUGGUUUGUGUAACUUAGUGCUUAUUUUAUUUAAAAAAUUCAGGUUCUUGGGGUUUUUUGUCCCAUCUUGCGUACAUGAUUUUAUUACCCAGGCCCAUGUGUAUCAUAUUUUUACACACUUCAUAAA